AGCUCCAAUAGCGUAUAUUAAAGUUGUUGCAGUUAAAAAGCUCGUAGUUGGAUUUCUGGGUCAAGCUCCUGGUCCGCCGCUAUGCGGUGCCGACUGUGUGUAGCGUUGAUUCAUCCUUGUGGGAAUUCCAGUUUGGGCUUCGUUGUCCGGCUGGCGGAACCGCAUCUUUUACUGUGAAAAAAUUAGAGUGUUCAAAGCAGGCUUACGCUGUGAAUACAUUAGCAUGGAAUAAUACGAUAGGACUUUGGUUCUAUUUUGUUGGUUGGAGACCAAGGUAAUGAUUAAUAGGGAUAGUUGGGGGUAUUCAUAUUUAAUUGUCAGAGGUGAAAUUCUUGGAUUUAUGAAAGAUGAACUUAUGCGAAAGCAUUUACCAAGGAUGUUUUCA
rnacentral:rRNA from 1 species